rnacentral:rRNA from 1 species
AGAGUUUGAUCAUGGCUCAGAACGAACGCUGGCGGCAUGCCUAAUACAUGCAAGUCGAACGAUCCUUUCGGGGAUAGUGGCGCACGGGUGCGUAACGCGUGGGAAUCUGCCCUUGGGUUCGGAAUAACUUCGGGAAACUGAAGCUAAUACCGGAUGAUGACGAAAGUCCAAAGAUUUAUCGCCCAGGGAUGAGCCCGCGUAGGAUUAGCUAGUUGGUGGGGUAAAGGCCUACCAAGGCGACGAUCCUUAGCUGGUCUGAGAGGAUGAUCAGCCACACUGGGACUGAGACACGGCCCAGACUCCUACGGGAGGCAGCAGUAGGGAAUAUUGGACAAUGGGCGAAAGCCUGAUCCAGCAAUGCCGCGUGAGUGAUGAAGGCCUUAGGGUUGUAAAGCUCUUUUACCCGAGAUGAUAAUGACAGUAUCGGGAGAAUAAGCUCCGGCUAACUCCGUGCCAGCAGCCGCGGUAAUACGGAGGGAGCUAGCGUUGUUCGGAAUUACUGGGCGUAAAGCGCACGUAGGCGGCGAUUUAAGUCAGAGGUGAAAGCCCGGGGCUCAACCCCGGAACUGCCUUUGAGACUGGAUUGCUAGAAUCUUGGAGAGGCGAGUGGAAUUCCGAGUGUAGAGGUGAAAUUCGUAGAUAUUCGGAAGAACACCAGUGGCGAAGGCGGCUCGCUGGACAAGUA